rnacentral:rRNA from 1 species
CCUACGGGAGGCUGCAGUGAGGAAUAUUGGUCAAUGGCCGGAAGGCUGAACCAGCCAUGCCGCGUGAAGGUCAGUGCCCUAUGGGCGUUAAACUUCUUUUGUGCGGGAGCAAUAAUGGUCACGUGUGGCCAGACGAGAGUACCGUACGAAUAAGCAUCGGCUAACUCCGUGCCAGCAGCCGCGGUAAUACGGGGGAUGCAAGCGUUAUCCGGAUUUAUUGGGUUUAAAGGGUGCGUAGGCUGGGAGGUAAGUCAGCGGUGGAAUGCGGCCGCUCAACGGGGUGAAGUGCCAUUGAAACUGCCUUGCUGGAAUGCGGAUGACGUAGGAGGAAGGUGUGGUGUAGCGGUGAAAUGCAUAGAUAUCACGCAGAACACCGAUUGCGAAGGCAGCUCACGGAUCCGCGAUUGACGCUGAUGCACGAAAGCGUGGGUAUCAAACAGGAUUAGAUACCCGUGUAGUC